rnacentral:misc_RNA from 1 species
UACGGAGGGUGCAAGCGUUGUCCGGAUUUAUUGGGUAUAAAGGGUGCGUAGGCGGCCCAUUAAGUCAGCGGUGAAAUCCCUCAGCUCAACUGUGGAACUGCCGUUGAUACUGGUGGGCUUGAGUAAAGUCGAGGCGGGCGGAACUGGUGGUGUUGCGGUGAAAUGCGUAGAUACCACCUAGAACCCCGAUUUCGUAGGCAGCUCGCUAGGCUUUAAGUGACGCUGAGGCACGAAAGCGUGGGGAGCGAACAGG